GUAUUGAAUUAGGCCAUGUCACCCAAAUCAACCUAAACGACGUAUUUGCUUCAUCUUUCACCGCCGUUACCAUAUAUCAAACCUAAUUUACUUGGCCUUUUCAUAUUUAAUUUAUCUCUAACGCCGCAUCAUCUUCAUUCUCUUCCUUCUAAUCGUCUUCCUUCUAAUCGGAGCUAAGCUACUGUUACCAUCUCCUCAGAUUCUUCCAUUCAACAUCUCGCUCCCACAACCAUUAGUCAUAAAUCAUCAGCUUAACUUCAACAGUCUUCCCUCAUCCAAAUGUUAGCAAAAAAAAAACAGUCCCACAUCAUGAACUCGAUUCCCUAUAUAUAUUAUCUCUUUCCUUUCUUCACCUUCACCAAACUCAGGAAAACCAAAUAAUCACAACAUCAGUGGCGAUCUCUCCAGAACCACGCCCUAUUGGUUUCUGUAACCAUGCCGUCCAGGAACACUCCACCAUCCGUCUCUGUGUCUCUGCCAUGUUACUUAGCUCAAUCAUGAAGUGGGAUUACAGGAGGAUGAAGCUCACUAAUGAGAAGCUUAGGGGAAACAAGACGUCACUUCUUGAUCAUUACUACACCAGCUGGAAAGGAGUCUGCUGGGGUUUUCAUGGAAGAGAAAAUGUCUCAUAGAUAUGAUGAAAUGAUAAUUCCGAACAAGUAAGUUAUCUUUUUGUUACUUUCCAUUAUAUUCAUCUGCAGUGUUCCUUCAUCUGUGUAAGUGCGUAAUAGUUUUAAAGGAAAUGAUAGAAGACUCAAGUACAUUGGUAAAAAAAACAGAGAAAGGUUCCUCAUAUUGACUUCUUUCUCGAGACGAGUUUCAAAUGUUUUGUCGAUCCCAUCGGACCCUUUGAUUCCAUGUGGUUCUUUCGACCCCCAGGCUCCGGUUUCCUUUUUGUCAACCCAUCAAGCUUAAGGAACACAACACCACAAAAGCUCCUAAAACUGCUAAAACCAGUGGUUGAAUGAAAAUUUCAUCUCUUAGAACACUUGGGAAUCGUGGUAGUUUUGAAAGAACUACCUUGGUUUCAGCUGAGUCCAGAAUCAUAUUUUGGAAGAAGAGUUGAUAAGGAGCUCCCAAUUAGAUUCUUUCCACUCCAGAAUUAGUUUCUCACGAUCAUAUAUAACUCACGUAGCCACUCAGUUUGGUAGUUUGGUUUAUCGAGUGUCAUGUUGCAGGUUAUCGAGUGUGUCUCCCACACCAGACCAGCUUAUGUAUUUGACUCUUAGUUUAUAUUCUUUUGCUAUUGCCUUAAAUAUAUAUAUUUUCCUGUCAUAUUGCAGGUCAUUGAGGGUUUUAUAUGGGAGAUUUCCUUCUGCAACAAUGAUAAAAGGGGGAAUAAGAUGUCAAUCUUAUCUUUCUAGAUUUCUAAUACCAUUGUUAACGGAGAAAAUCUUAUGCAUACUCUGUCAAAGAUAGCAUCACACAUUUGAAAGAGGCUUUGUUACCUACAGAAGGUGUAAAAACCUAUAUCAAAAUUCGACAGUUGCUACAGAGUACAGACUAAAGAUUUUUCUGGAGGUGGAGCAUUAUGGAUUUGAGUUCAUCUUACGUCCAGUGAUACUAAUGUUUUCUAUCGUCAUGAUGUCUGAACAGUAGACAUAUGUAUCCUGGAAGCAUUACAAGGAGAGGCAAAGCUUUAUUUCUAACGACACUAUGGCAGUCUGGCAGUCACGAGACAGAGUUUCGACUGCAAUAAACUAAUAACAGAGGCCUAACUUAGCUAAAUGAAAUAAGACGUAUGUAAUAUUGUCUCAUUACUCCAACCUAUAAGCCGCAAAUAUAAACAUAUGAAAAGAUAAUAUAUAGUCAAUGGAAAAACAAAAAGCUAAGAUAUUAUCAUAAAUAUUCUGU